GCAGGGGGUUAGCAAUGAUAGAGGAACGUGAUGGACAUCAUUAUCCAAAGUACAUGUAUGAAGACAUGAAUUGGUGUGAACAUACUUUAUACACAGAGAUAUGAAAAAUUGUUCUGUAUGUGUAAUAAGAAUUGUGAUACAUUCCACUGUCAUGCAUUUAAAAAUAAAACCAAUAAAAAAGUGAAGUAGGACAUUUGCUAUGAAUUGCGGGGUUUUUUUUUUGUGUGUGUGUGUGUGUAUGUGUAUGUGUGUGUGUGUGUGUGUGUGUAAAUCAAACACUCCAGAGUACCUGAAAAAUGUACUUUAAAACCUUUUUUUCCACCUGGUGGAUCCAAAAAAUUGGAAGGUUUUGGUAGAAUUUCCUUCCUUCUUGAUAUAGUUUCAUUAAAAUUGUAAAAAUCAUAUAUAUAUAUAAAAUCCAUUAAGCUUCCAAGAUUUAUGGUUAGCUGUUUUAAUAGCUAAUGAAAUAAUAAGACCUUAUAAUAACCCCUGCCAAUUAAAACUAACAAGUGUUAAACAGAUAGGACAGCAAUAUCUAUAAGAGGAAGGGAUGUGCACUGUUAUUUCAUAUAUUGGUGAGAAGAGUCACCUUUGAUGUAUUUUGUUGGUUUUUAGGAUGUUGCACAAACCCUCUCAAUAAUUCUCAGUUCUAUAAUAGGGUAAAUGUUCAACAUAUUGCUUUAGUGUCUGUGUGUUCCAUUUUUCCUAAAGUUUUUUAUUCCUUUCACACUUAUUUAUGGAGGUAUUGCUGGGUUUAUCCACAUCUCUCCACCCUUUUCCAAUACUGUCUCCAAACUUUUUGCACUCUCUUUUCUAACAAGUAUGUUCUAUUGUGUCACAGUUCCAUUGUUAAGACAGAAUUUACUGUUGAAGUCUCAGAUCAGCAUUUUGCAACUGGUGAUAACUGAUCAUAUGAAGACCUGGAAAGGAAUGUGGUAACAAUGAAAUCCUUUUCCUUCUUGAAAGAAUGGAUUCAAGGGUUCAACCAGCAAUGGUGACAACCAGUUACAAGGCGGAAAUAAUGUUACCAAAAGGUGAUCUCAAGGUUAGUAUUACAUGUGAAUUCCUUUCCUAUGUUGUUGGGUACUGGUCACUUUCUUAUUGUCAUAGGAUAAUUAGAUGUGAUGUCAUAUGUUCCAUUUUGCCAUGUGGGGUUAAAUGGAACUAGGGUUUCUCCCCUCUCUAACAUUCUUUCAGUGUCUGAACUGAACUAGGAUGAGUAUCUAAACAAUUCUGGGCUUCCUCCAUUUGAAAAUGGGAACAGUGGUAUUUAUCUAUUUGGUCUAUUAGGUGAUAAGAACAAAAGGUCAUGGUAGAAAUACCCUUGACAGCCAGCAAGCACUUUAUCAAUGCUAGCCCUCCCCACCUCUACUUAUGGAGAUAGAAAACAGAUAACACAAACUCCCUUUUAAUAUUCAAAUAUAUCCUUCAUUGAUGACUUUAUAAAUAAAACCAUUGAUUUAGAUAAAAGGUGAAUUUUCCAUCCCUUUAUCUUUCAUUCCUUCUUAUAUUUCUCAGAACUUUUAGUUCCUAUUAUAAACUAAGAAUGGGAUGCUGUGGAGACAAAAUGGAGAGACAGGGGUUGAUACUAUUCUCAAGGAGACUAGAGUCUAGAAAGGGAGGCUAUUAAAAAAAAAAGCCAGAGAUAAAGUACUAUCUUAGUUUAUGAGCUGGAAAUUUUAUUUUAACCAAGGUUACCAGAGAAUGUUUCAUGGAAGAGGCAGUGUUUGGGCUUUAAAUAAAGGGUAUAUUUUGUAUAGCAAAGAGGGAAGGGAUAUAAUGAGCCAGGACUGACAUAGGGUGGUUGGGUGGAAAGACUUUGGCCUGGAACUAAAUGAUGAGUUGGCAUGACCCUGGAUGAACCACUUUUCCUCUUUACCUUAAGUCUCUUCAUCUGUGAGAGAUGUAAAAUAAGCUCUGCCCUGUCAGUCUUUCAGAUCCUGGAGAGGAUCAAAUGGGAAUUUGCAGCUAGCAGCUUUUUGGAAACCAUGAAGCCCUCUGGAGCACCACUAUCAUCACCCAGAAAGUGGUUAGAAAUGCAAAACUCCUCCCCACCCCACCCCACCCAGAUCUACUGAAUCUCAGUCUCAGGGUGGGGCCCAGCAAUCUGUUUUUUUUAACAAUCUCUCUGGAUCAUUCUGAUGCAUAGUAAAGUUUGAGAAAAAUGGCUCUGUACUAAGAUGGGGAGUUUGGAAAUUCCAUGCCAGUGAAUGUUUUCAACUGUGGAUGAACUUAGAGACAUAUUUCUAGGAUGUAGAGGCAGGAGUUUGUGCCCAAAAGACUUCAUAAUUUCAGUGUGAACAAGACAAUUGGAAAUAUUAGAAAAAAACCCUGUAUUGCCAAGCCCUAGAGUUGAAGAUUUUUUUUUUCUAAUUCCAGAUAAUUUUGACCUAAUCACCUAUUUGCAAAGCAAUGGAGGCAUUGUUGGCCAGCUCUGGUGAAACCCACUUGUUCUGCAAGAUGAUGUAGAAUGAGAGUGUUUUUGUGGAAAUAUUAGCACACGCUGUCAAAUAUGGCCCUAACUUUCUGCAGAGGGAGCAAGUAUGUCUCUUAAUUUUGAUCAACUGUGGGGAAACAUUGAAUAGAAACUUCCAAACCAAUUUGAGUGGGCAAUUCUUCCUAAUGCUGGCCAGCUGCAAAGCUAUGACUUGAGGUCUGGUAGAUUCACAUUUGCUGAAUGGGAGCAUAUUACCUGGAAGAGAAGUGAAAAGACUCAAAGGAAACAUUUAUCCCAAGGGGAAAAAGAAACAAGUGUGUGAGCUGGGGAGGAGGUGAGCAGGAGGUCAAGGGGAACCAGAGAGGAGCUGUUUAGGCUAUUAGGAUGACAUGUCCAUACAGGUUGGAUGUCAUAUUCUGGUUUUUCCACACCUGGGUGGGGGAGGGGGUUGUCUCUUGUGACCUGCAAUCCACAGGGCAAUCUUUAUCAAACCAGCACAGUUGUUCUCCAUAAGACUAUGCCCCCCGCCCCCUUACCUGUGUUCCAGACCUGUGGAGAAAGCAUGGUAAAAGUAGAAAAAUCACUACUCUCUGCCUUAAUUCUGAACACAUUGUCCACAAACUCUCAGCGUAGGCUUCACUUAGGACCUGUUAGAAAGGCGGAUCCUCAGUCCACCUCAGACCUGCUGAUCAGAAGAUUCACUAGAGUUUGAGAACAACUGCCUUAGAAUGUCAUAUCAGCCCUGGUGGCAUCCCCCAGUAUGAUAAUGUAGCCCAGGGGGAGAGCAGAGAGAAUUUCUUCCUGGUUGUAAUAUGGCUAAUAUGGAUGGCUGACCAGACUGUAACCUGGAACUAGAUCAGUCUUACCUGGGAAGCAGCAGAUGUACUAGAAAUAUAUAUUAGGGGGACCAGGGAUGGAGAAAGCCCAGAGAAGAAAAAGAAAGAAUUAUACAAAUUAGCCUAGAGGAGCCUCCUAAACACUGGCUUUGUGUGUGUGUGUGUGUGUGUGUGUGAGCGCGCGCGCGAGCACACGCUUUACCACUGAACUACAUCCUCAGUCCUUUUUUAAAAUUUUAUUUUCAUACAGGGUCUCACUAAAUUGCCCACGUUGGCCUUGAAAUUGUGAUCCUCCUGAUCCUCCUGCUUCAGCCUGGAGUCACUGGGAUUACAGGUGUGUGCCACCACACCUGCUCCUGAACUAUUAAUAGGAAUAGUUGUAGGAAAUGUAAGGAAAGCCAGAAAUUCAACAAUUGUUGGGUGAGAAUAAAACUAGAGAUCUACUCUACUGUUGCUGUUACCAUGACCCUAUUUUUGAUGCUUGUAAGCUGAUGGGGGCUGAGGAAAUGGGUUUUGCUUGGGUAUGUAGAGGCACAAGCAGUGUGGAUAAGCUUGCAGAGAAAAAUUAGAAGUGAUUAUCCAUUAAAAGUGUUCAACAUUACCAUCUUGGCCUCGUUUACUUGCAUGUCAUUUAAAUGUGUAAAGAAACUUUAAUUUUCUUUCUUUUCUUUUACCUGUUCUGGUCUUCUUCAUGGACCCUAGUUCUUCAGUCUAGCAAAGAUAAUUCACACUUAACUAAUUGUGUUUCUUUCUCCUCGCUUGAACAUUGUUCUUUCACUUUAAGCAUUCAAAGUACUGUUUCUUAAAUUCAAACAUGCUUUGCAGUCACUUGGAGGGCUUGUUAAAAC
rnacentral:lncRNA from 1 species